UCUGGCGACCGGCGCACGGUGAGUAACACGUAUCCAACCUGCCGAUAACUCGGGGAUAGCCUUUCGAAAGAAAGAUUAAUACCCGAUGGCAUAAUUAGACCGCAUGGUCUUAUUAUUAAAGAAUUUCGGUUAUCGAUGGGGAUGCGUUCCAUUAGGCAGUUGGUGAGGUAACGGCUCACCAAACCUUCGAUGGAUAGGGGUUCUGAGAGGAAGGUCCCCCACAUUGGAACUGAGACACGGUCCAA
rnacentral:rRNA from 1 species